UAUUGGAUGGUAAUGCUAACGGUUAUGUU
rnacentral:sRNA from 1 species